AUCUCUUACAUGAAGUAGGAGGGAGAAGGUUACACAAAAGAAGCAUCCCCUUCCUGGGAGGGAGGCUGAGGCAGGCAACCAAGGUGGAAAAAAGUGAGAUGACGAUAACUCCAUCCCCGAGAGCUGGCAGCUUUUUGUUCUUGGCAGACCCAGAGGCCCCUCUGUGCGACUUUCUGGGCUCCAGACGGGGGACCCUGGUCCCGCCACGCCCCAGGGAAGCUGCGGAUCUGAAAGACGUAGCGUGACUCGGUGCCUCGAGGCUGGCUGUGUGCUGAAACGGAGGCGAGACAGGCUGUCAGCGUGGAAACCGUGCGGUGACAGCUUCCUUCACCCUCCAGGCCUGUCAGCUCGUGGGGGAACUGACAGGCCUCAACUAAUAAGGGAAAAUGACUGCCGCGGAGCUGAAAGGUUAUUUCCCUCUCCAAAUACAUUUGGGCCUGUCACCACGGAGUUAUGCACCCCGACAUCAAAAUCGGACCCGUGGGCCUCAGAAGACAGAAAAUGACAUCAUGGGCAAAAAAUGAUGAGGAAACAGACAUAAGGAAUUUGCCCAUGCUGAUCCAGCUGGUGCCAGAACUGGGAUUUAAACCUGGAAACCCAGGCUGUCUGACCACUCAUAACCCUACGCUCCUCUGUGUCUACAGAUGUGACUCCACCUUGGGGCAGCCAAAGGCCACCAUGGUGGGGAGGUGAGGUGGGGAGGUGAGCUGUUGCCGAGAGGCCCAUGGGGGAGCACAGAAGUCAAAUUGCUUUUCUGGAUGCUAUGAUUAUGUGUUCAUUUUAGCCCAGCUUUUCAAAACAAAAGUUCGCUUUUGGGCAAGUGCUGAAACUCUGGCUUGCCUGCCCUCGGUUAGCAACCAUCGCUGGGACCAAAUGAUGACUCCAGCCAACAGCUGGCGGUCAGGACUGACAACCUCCUGGGUCACUGACGACAAUCAGAGGGGAGCAAUUUCUUCCAGUCAAGCCCCCUUGCUAGCCCCGGCUCACCUACCCCUCCCUCCCUGUCUCCUUCCAGCUCUGUAUCCCCUUCCCUUGGACUGCCUCAGGAAAAGGAAAGAAGAAAUGUUUUUUGAAAAGUCUAAAUGAAACCAAACACUUGUAUUUCCAACCAUUGAUGCUGGAUUUGUGCUUCUCCAACCCUGUCAUUUGGGACAAGUCUAUCUCUGCCUCUCUUUGCCCGACAGUGUAAUGCAAACAGACCAUAAAAAAAUAAACUUUCCCCCCAAAUAUUA